AUUGAACGCUGGCGGCAGGCCUAACACAUGCAAGUCGAACGAGUGGCGGACGGGUGAGUAAUGUCUGGGAAACUGCCUGACGGAGGGGGAUAACUACUGGAAACGGUAGCUAAUACCGCAUACCAUCAGAUGUGCCCAGGUGGGAUUAGCUUGUUGGUGGGGUAACGGCUCACCAAGGCGACGAUCCCUAGCUGGUCUGAGAGGCUGCCCAGCCACACUGGAACGGAGACACGGUCCAGACUCCUACGGUAGGCAGCAGUGGGGAAUAUUGCACAAUGGGCGCAAGCCUGAUGCAGCCAGGCCGCGUGUAUGAAGAAGGCCUUCGGGUUGUAAAGCACUUUCGGCGGGGAGGCGUUACCCGAAGAAUAAGCACCGGCUAACUCCGUGCCAGCAGCCGCGGUAAUUC
rnacentral:rRNA from 1 species